rnacentral:rRNA from 1 species
CCUACGGGGGGCAGCAGUGGGGAAUAUUGGACAAUGGGCGAAAGCCUGAUCCAGCCAUGCCGCAUGUGUGAAGAAGGCCUUCGGGUUGUAAAGCACUUUCAGUGGGGAAGAAAGCCUUGGGGCUAAUACCCUCGAGGAAGGACAUCACCCACAGAAGAAGCACCGGCUAACUCCGUGCCAGCAGCCGCGGUAAUACGGAGGGUGCGAGCGUUAAUCGGAAUUACUGGGCGUAAAGCGCGCGUAGGCGGUCUGAUAAGCCGGUUGUGAAAGCCCCGGGCUCAACCUGGGAACGGCAUCCGGAACUGUCAGGCUAGAGUGCAGGAGAGGAAGGUAGAAUUCCCGGUGUAGCGGUGAAAUGCGUAGAGAUCGGGAGGAAUACCAGUGGCGAAGGCGGCCUUCUGGACUGACACUGACGCUGAGGUGCGAAAGCGUGGGUAGCAAACAGGAUUAGAUACCCCGGUAGUC